UUAAGCGAAUAAGCGUACACGGUGGAUGCCCUGGCAGUCAGAGGCGAUGAAGGACGUGCUAAUCUGCGAUAAGCGUCGGUAAGGUGAUAUGAACCGUUAUAACCGGCGAUUUCCGAAUGGGGAAACCCAGUGUGAUUCGUCACACUAUCAUUAACUGAAUCCAUAGGUUAAUGAGGCGAACCGGGGGAACUGAAACAUCUAAGUACCCCGAGGAAAAGAAAUCAACCGAGAUUCCCCCAGUAGCGGCGAGCGAACGGGGAGGAGCCCAGAGCCUGAAUCAGUGUGUGUGUUAGUGGAAGCGUCUGGAAAGGCGCGCGAUACAGGGUGACAGCCCCGUACACAAAAAUGCACAUGCUGUGAGCUCGAUGAGUAGGGCGGGACACGUGGUAUCCUGUCUGAAUAUGGGGGGACCAUCCUCCAAGGCUAAAUACUCCUGACUGACCGAUAGUGAACCAGUACCGUGAGGGAAAGGCGAAAAGAACCCCGGCGAGGGGAGUGAAAAAGAACCUGAAACCGUGUACGUACAAGCAGUGGGAGCACAGAGCAAUCUGUGUGACUGCGUACCUUUUGUAUAAUGGGUCAGCGACUUAUAUUCUGUAGCAAGGUUAACCGAAUAGGGGAGCCGAAGGGAAACCGAGUCUUAACUGGGCGUUAAGUUGCAGGGUAUAGACCCGAAACCCGGUGAUCUAGCCAUGGGCAGGUUGAAGGUUGGGUAACACUAACUGGAGGACCGAACCGACUAAUGUUGAAAAAUUAGCGGAUGACUUGUGGCUGGGGGUGAAAGGCCAAUCAAACCGGGAGAUAGCUGGUUCUCCCCGAAAGCUAUUUAGGUAGCGCCUCGUGAAUUCAUCUCCGGGGGUAGAGCACUGUUUCGGCAAGGGGGUCAUCCCGACUUACCAACCCGAUGCAAACUGCGAAUACCGGAGAAUGUUAUCACGGGAGACACACGGCGGGUGCUAACGUCCGUCGUGAAGAGGGAAACAACCCAGACCGCCAGCUAAGGUCCCAAAGUCAUGGUUAAGUGGGAAACGAUGUGGGAAGGCCCAGACAGCCAGGAUGUUGGCUUAGAAGCAGCCAUCAUUUAAAGAAAGCGUAAUAGCUCACUGGUCGAGUCGGCCUGCGCGGAAGAUGUAACGGGGCUAAACCAUGCACCGAAGCUGCGGCAGCGACGCUGAUGCGUUGUUGGGUAGGGGAGCGUUCUGUAAGCCUGUGAAGGUGUGCUGUGAGGCAUGCUGGAGGUAUCAGAAGUGCGAAUGCUGACAUAAGUAACGAUAAAGCGGGUGAAAAGCCCGCUCGCCGGAAGACCAAGGGUUCCUGUCCAACGUUAAUCGGGGCAGGGUGAGUCGACCCCUAAGGCGAGGCCGAAAGGCGUAGUCGAUGGGAAACAGGUUAAUAUUCCUGUACUUGGUGUUACUGCGAAGGGGGGACGGAGAAGGCUAUGUUGGCCGGGCGACGGUUGUCCCGGUUUAAGCGUGUAGGCUGGUUUUCCAGGCAAAUCCGGAAAACUAAGGCUGAGGCGUGAUGACGAGGCACUACGGUGCUGAAGCAACAAAUGCCCUGCUUCCAGGAAAAGCCUCUAAGCAUCAGGUAACAUCAAAUCGUACCCCAAACCGACACAGGUGGUCAGGUAGAGAAUACCAAGGCGCUUGAGAGAACUCGGGUGAAGGAACUAGGCAAAAUGGUGCCGUAACUUCGGGAGAAGGCACGCUGAUAUGUAGGUGAAGUCCCUCGCGGAUGGAGCUGAAAUCAGUCGAAGAUACCAGCUGGCUGCAACUGUUUAUUAAAAACACAGCACUGUGCAAACACGAAAGUGGACGUAUACGGUGUGACGCCUGCCCGGUGCCGGAAGGUUAAUUGAUGGGGUCAGCGCAAGCGAAGCUCUUGAUCGAAGCCCCGGUAAACGGCGGCCGUAACUAUAACGGUCCUAAGGUAGCGAAAUUCCUUGUCGGGUAAGUUCCGACCUGCACGAAUGGCGUAAUGAUGGCCAGGCUGUCUCCACCCGAGACUCAGUGAAAUUGAACUCGCUGUGAAGAUGCAGUGUACCCGCGGCAAGACGGAAAGACCCCGUGAACCUUUACUAUAGCUUGACACUGAACAUUGAGCCUUGAUGUGUAGGAUAGGUGGGAGGCUUUGAAGUGUGGACGCCAGUCUGCAUGGAGCCGACCUUGAAAUACCACCCUUUAAUGUUUGAUGUUCUAACGUUGACCCGUAAUCCGGGUUGCGGACAGUGUCUGGUGGGUAGUUUGACUGGGGCGGUCUCCUCCUAAAGAGUAACGGAGGAGCACGAAGGUUGGCUAAUCCUGGUCGGACAUCAGGAGGUUAGUGCAAUGGCAUAAGCCAGCUUGACUGCGAGCGUGACGGCGCGAGCAGGUGCGAAAGCAGGUCAUAGUGAUCCGGUGGUUCUGAAUGGAAGGGCCAUCGCUCAACGGAUAAAAGGUACUCCGGGGAUAACAGGCUGAUACCGCCCAAGAGUUCAUAUCGACGGCGGUGUUUGGCACCUCGAUGUCGGCUCAUCACAUCCUGGGGCUGAAGUAGGUCCCAAGGGUAUGGCUGUUCGCCAUUUAAAGUGGUACGCGAGCUGGGUUUAGAACGUCGUGAGACAGUUCGGUCCCUAUCUGCCGUGGGCGCUGGAGAACUGAGGGGGGCUGCUCCUAGUACGAGAGGACCGGAGUGGACGCAUCACUGGUGUUCGGGUUGUCAUGCCAAUGGCACUGCCCGGUAGCUAAAUGCGGAAGAGAUAAGUGCUGAAAGCAUCUAAGCACGAAACUUGCCCCGAGAUGAGUUCUCCCUGACUCCUUGAGAGUCCUGAAGGAACGUUGAAGACGACGACGUUGAUAGGCCGGAUGUGUAAGCGCAGCGAUGCGUUGAGCUAACCGGUACUAAUGAACCGUGAGGCUUAACCU
rnacentral:rRNA from 1 species